rnacentral:rRNA from 1 species
UACGUAGGGGGCUAGCGUUGUCCGGAAUCAUUGGGCGUAAAGAGCGCGUAGGCGGCUGGAAUAGUCCGGUGUGAAAUCCACAGGCUUAACCUGUGAAUGCCGCUGGAAACUGUCUGGCUAGAGUCCGGAAGGGGCGAGUGGAAUUCCAGGUGUAGCGGUGAAAUGCGUAGAUAUCUGGAGGAACACCGAUGGCGAAGGCAGCUCGCUGGGACGGUACUGACGCUGAGGCGCGAAAGCGUGGGGAGCAAACAGG